rnacentral:rRNA from 1 species
AGUGAACGCUGGCGGUAGGCCUAACACAUGCAAGUCGAACGGCAGCACAGUAAGAGCUUGCUCUUACGGGUGGCGAGUGGCGGACGGGUGAGGAAUACAUCGGAAUCUACUUUUUCGUGGGGGAUAACGUAGGGAAACUUACGCUAAUACCGCAUACGACCUACGGGUGAAAGCAGGGGAUCUUCGGACCUUGCGCGAUUGAAUGAGCCGAUGUCGGAUUAGCUAGUUGGCGGGAUAAAGGCCCACCAAGGCGACGAUCCGUAGCUGGUCUGAGAGGAUGAUCAGCCACACUGGAACUGAGACACGGUCCAGACUCCUACGGGAGGCAGCAGUGGGGAAUAUUGGACAAUGGGCGCAAGCCUGAUCCAGCCAUACCGCGUGGGUGAAGAAGGCCUUCGGGUUGUAAAGCCCUUUUGUUGGGAAAGAAAAGCAGCAGGUUAAUACCCCGCUGUUCUGACGGUACCCAAAGAAUAAGCACCGGCUAACUUCGUGC